rnacentral:tmRNA from 1 species
ACUUGUAGAUAUUUAUAUAGCUAUAUUUUCGGACAGGAGUUCAAGUCUCCUCGGCUCCACCA